GAGGAAAGUCCGGGCUUAUAAUACUGUAAAUGUUGCAGGAUAAGUUCCUGUGCAAGUAAUUGUGAGGAAAGUGCCACAGAAAAAUACCGCUAUUUUAUAGUAAGGGUGCAAUGGUGUGUGUAGUUAAUAUUGAUCAUUUACAAGAUAUUGGGAUUAUUGUUUAACACUAAGAUCAAAAUUGUCAAUUGAAACAAGAAGUCGCUGCAAAUAAAAAUUGAUUCUUUUAUUCUUUUAUAAUACUCAAUAGAAUAGAAAGUGCCGUCAUUGAUUAUUUAUUGUGAUCUAAAUUGUUAAUAAAAAUCUUGUUAAAAUGUUGAAAUAUAUAAAAAAUGAAAAUCUAGAUACAAGCUUUACGAGUUUGACUAAAUUGAGCAUUGUGUAUAUAAAUAUACUUUCAAUGUUCUAGAAAGACAACAAUAUAGUUUAUUUUAUUAAGAGCAUACCAGUAGUGUUGAAAAAUAUUAGCUAGGUAAACCCCGACAAUAAGCAAAUUCAUUAAGUAAUGAUUAUUUUGCGUAUUAAAAAAAUGAUGAAUUAGUGCCUAAAGUUAUAAGCGAUUUUAACUUGAGAUAAAUAAUCACCCUUUUAUAUCUCGUGAAAUUAUGAUGUAAAAGAACAGAAUCCGGCUUAU
rnacentral:RNase_P_RNA from 1 species